rnacentral:rRNA from 1 species
UACGUAGGGUGCGAGCGUUGUCCGGAAUUAUUGGGCGUAAAGAGCUCGUAGGCGGUGUGUCACGUCGGCCGUGAAAACCUGCAGCUUAACUGUGGGCGUGCGGUCGAUACGGGCAUCACUGGAGUUCGGCAGGGGAGACUGGAAUUCCUGGUGUAGCGGUGAAAUGCGUAGAUAUCUGGAGGAACACCGGUGGCGAAGGCGGCAUCCUGGACCAAUAUUGACGCUGAGGAGCGAAAGCUAGGGGAGCAAACGGG